rnacentral:piRNA from 1 species
UGGAAAGUAUAAAGGCGGACUUAAUGCC